UGAGGAAUAUUGCGCAAUGGGGGAAACCCUGACGCAGCAACGCCGCGUGAGUGAGGAAGGUUUUCGGAUCGUAAAGCUCUGUCGGGUGGGGAGAAAUGUAUGGAGGUUAAUAGCCUUUGUACUUGACGGUACCGCCAAAGGAAGCACCGGCUAACUCCGUGCCAGCAGCCGCGGUAAUACGGGGGGUGCAAGCGUUGUUCGGAAUCAUUGGGCGUAAAGAGCGUGUAGGCGGCUGAGCAAGUCAGAUGUGAAAUCCCUGGGCUUAACCCAGGAAGUGCAUUUGAAACUGUUCAGCUUGAGUAAGGAAGAGGGAAGUGGAAUUCCUGGUGUAGAGGUGAAAUUCGUAGAUAUCAGGAGGAACACCGGUGGCGAAGGCGACUUCCUGGUCCUAUACUGACGCUGAGACGCGAGAGCGUGGGGAGCAAACAG
rnacentral:rRNA from 1 species